rnacentral:misc_RNA from 1 species
AGUUCUCAUCCUCAGAUUUCUC